UUGCCAUGGUCUGAAGGAAAAGG
rnacentral:miRNA from 1 species